rnacentral:lncRNA from 1 species
AGCCAUUUCCUUCUUUAAUUUUUAUUUAUUUUUUAUUUUUUAUUUUUUUUGUGUGUAUGUGUGUAUGUAGCUUUCGACUCCUGAAAUGGCUUGUGAAAGUUAAAAAUGCUCUGUAAGCUGAGUGUCUGCAAGCAAAGUACCUUCUGUCUGGUCUUCUCUGAGAAGCACAAAAGCUGAAGACAACGGAGGGAAAUUGAAGAGAGCAAGAGGCCAUGAAAAACUUGAUGUGUUCUGUUCACCCAGAAGAUUUCCUGAAGGAUGCAUAAAUCUGACAUGAGAAUACAUGAAUAACAGUUUGAUGGAAUGGAGGUGGUGUUUUGCCAAAACUAGGAACAAACCAGAACAUUGAAGCAAUGCUCAUUAAGUGGUAAACUUCUGGCAAAAGAAAAAGAAGGUAU